CGAGACACUCCAGCCUAUCGAGCGGUCACUACUCACUAGCAGUUGGAAUUUGGACAGCAGCAGCAGCGGUGAGCGCGGCGGCGGCGGCGGCGGCGACUUGCUCUCCUCCUCCCCACAGUCCAGUUCUUACAGGAGACGAACGCCGGCGAGCCGCCUCCGCCGCAGCUAUGGCUUCCAGGACGCUCUCCGUCUCCUCCCUCGCCUCCGCCUUCGCCUCCAUCCCCCGCCCCAGGCCCCCUCCUCCGCCUCCAUCUCGCAUCCGCGCCUCCCCUCUCUCCACCGCCGCCGCCGCCGCCAGUGACGGCGACGCCGCCGACGGGGUCGACACCGUGGAGCAGCUCCUCGUUACGAAGCCCCCCGCCUCCUCCUCCUCCUCCUCCGCGGGAAGGGGCCGGAUCGACCGGCUCAUGAAGCUGCAGCGUCGCGCGGACGGGGACUUCCCCCCCGGCGGGGCGGGGCGGAGGUGGUUCCCUUACCUGGACGCGUUCCGGGCGGCGGGGGGCGUGGAGCUGACUAGCCGGGAGGUGCUGGAGGUGCUGGAGCCGCACAUCAUGGAGGCGCGGCGGGAGCGGAUCCGCCGCGCCGUCGAGAACCGGAGCUACUCCGUUUGCCUCGUCGUGGAGGGGCUCUCUGACUUCGGGAACGUCUCCGCGGCGUUCCGGUCCGCCGACGCGCUAGGCGUGCAGUCCGUGCACGUCAUCUCCUGCGACAACAACAAAAGGUAUAGAGACAAUAGGCAUGUGAGCAUGGGUGCUGAGAAAUGGCUUGAUAUCGAAUUAUGGAGCUCAACUGCAGAAUGCUUUGAUGCUUUAAAAAAGCGUGGUUAUCGCAUUGCAACUACUUAUUUGGGAAAUGAUUCGGUUUGUGUGUACGACAUGGAUUGGUCGCAACCUACCGCUAUUGUUGUGGGCAAUGAACUUAUGGGCAUAAGUGAUGAUGCUUUAAAGUUGUCAGACUUGCACUGCAGUGUUCCUAUGAAAGGCAUGGUGGAUUCUUUUAAUGUAUCUGUUGCAGCUGGAAUCCUUAUGCACCAUGCUGUCUGUGAUCGAAUUUCCCGCAUCGGUCAUCAUGGUGAUCUCUUGCCUGAAGAAAGUAGAAUAUUGCUUGCGGAGUUUUAUUUGCGCCACAGACAGAGCACAGCUGGCAUAGUUCACGAAUAUGCCAAAAGAAAGGCAGGAAACUUCAUGGCCAAACUUUGACAACUAUCAUUAUAGUUACUGAAGGAGAAAUAUACACAACCUAGGUAUUCAUUCAAAGAGAUUUGCUUUGGCAAUUGGAGUUUCUGGCUCUGGCAUAUCAUUUUUGACAGAGCAGCUGGCUUUUUACGGAGAGGAACUAUCAGGCUGCUUGACCAUCAUGGUGCCUCAAGAUGAUGACUUCAGAACAGAAUUUUUUGACAGGACUAUGAUCUAUCAGAGUAUCAAGCUAUCGCAUUAUCUUAACAGAUGACAUUACUAUUUCAGUCACAUUGCUUGCUACCCAAAUUUGGAAGUUGAUGCAAAAACUAAGAUGUUGUUUUGGAUGCUGACAUAUAAGAAAGGAUCGAUGCAGCUUUCUCUCCGUUCGCUAGAACCCCAGUUGAUAAUUUUUAGAGUUUAACUACUGCCUUUUACCGCGAUGUGAGACACUGCACUCAGAACUCAACUCUCUUAGCGAUUUAAUGUCAUGUUUUCUCUCUCGGAUUGUUCACAAUAACAGAGCUAGAGGGUUAUUUUUUGGUUAUUCAAAUACUCUGAGCGGUUCCAGAA